AGAAUCAACGCUGGCGGCGUGCCUAACACAUGCAAGUCGCACGAGAAAGGGAGCAAUCCCUGAGUAAAGUGGCGCACGGGUGAGUAACACGUGAAUAAUCUACCUCCGAGUGGGGAAUAACUGAGAGAAAUCUUAAGCUAAUACCGCAUAACACUUACGAGUCAAAGCAGCAAUGCGCUUGGAGAGGAGUUCGCGGCCGAUUAGUUAGUUGGCGGGGUGAUGGCCCACCAAGACGAUGAUCGGUA
rnacentral:rRNA from 1 species